CGUAGGUGGCAAGCGUUGUCCGGAAUUAUUGGGCGUAAAGCGCGCGCAGGCGGCCUUUUAAGUCUGAUGUGAAAGCCCACGGCUCAACCGUGGAAGGUCAUUGGAAACUGAAAGGCUUGAGUACAGAAGAGGAAAGCGGAAUUCCACGUGUAGCGGUGAAAUGCGUAGAGAUGUGGAGGAACACCAGUGGCGAAGGCGGCUUUCUGGUCUGCAACUGACGCUGAGGCGCGAAAGCGUGGGGGAGCAAACAGGAUU
rnacentral:rRNA from 1 species